AUAAAGCACAACUGCAAUGCCUUGGUCUGAAUUCCUUGGUUUUGUAAUUCCAGAAGAAGUGGCGGCAUAGUUACCUUGAAAAAGUAACUUAGUUACUUUACUGAUUUAUUUAUUUAUUUGAAAGUAACGAAGUUAGAUUAUAAGCUACGUUAUUAGUUAUUUUCAGCAGUUGCCAACAACCACCUGGAUAGUUGAAAGUAACUUGUAAUAUGAAUUGCUAGUAAAAAAGGUUAAUAAAUAUUAAUUUAUAAUAGUUAGAAUGAGCUUAAAAACAAUGUAAAUACAGUAAAAAGUUGUUGAAAAGUUAUAAUUUUCAUGUAUUAAUGUUUGUCUCGUUUUGUUCAAGGAAAUUGCGAUCUGUAAAUCAGCAAUCGGCUAGUAAGCCUCUUCUGGCAUCGAUUAGUAAAGCCUCCAUCCUCCACUGAGGUAUUUUCGCGCCUUUUUUAUUUGCACUUCCUGUUCUUGCCAUGCUGAUCACAAAGAGACAGCGAGGGAUCCUGGAGAAUUAGGAGGGAAAUUUAAAAUAAUCGCCACUGGAAAACAGAAUGAGCUAUUUUCACGGUGUCUGCUGCAAGCAAAGACGUCAAACUGCGGAGAUGAAAGGUCCAGGAGUGAAACAUCCCCAGAUGUUCCUCCUCAACCAGUACUGGAGCGCCACCUGGGGGACAACAGAGGAUCCUGAGCCAGGAGGGAUGGAUGGUACUUGAAGUGGGAUCUUGGUCAGAUCCAGGGAUCUCUUCCCAAUGGGACUGGAAAACCUUAACAUCAAAGAUGAAUCCUGAUGAGAUUCCUGAACUACUUCAGUUUACCUUUCAGUUCAGUUCCUUCUUCAAUGCAACAGACUAAACCAGAAGCCCAGUUAGCUCAGACAGAACCUCAUCUUACACUAAAUGGAUUCUCCAUUGGGUUAAAGGUCAGGGAAAUUUGCUGGCCAGUCAAGAACAGGAUCUCCAUGGACACUGAACCAGAUUUGGUACCUUUGGCGGUGUGGGUCGGUACCAAGUCCUGCUGGAAAAUAAAACCAGCAUCUUCAUACAGUUUGUCAGCAGAGGGAAUCGUGAAGCGCUCUAGAAUUUUCUGCAUAAACUGGACUUCAGGAAACCCAGUGGACCAGAACCAGGAGACAACAUGGCACCUCAAGCUUCACUCUGUACUUCAACCAACAUGGACGCUGUGCUUCUCCGUUCUUCAGACCCUGACACCCUGAUUACAAAAUGAAAUGCAGAGUUUUCUCUCCUGUGAAGAAAGGACUAUGGACCAAACCUCAACAGUUCAGCUCCUUUUCACCUUCACCAGGUCAGUCGGAUUUUUUGGGGUUGAAAUGAAACCCAUCAACCUACUUCUUCUGCUGUUCUUUGGACAAAUUCAAGGUCUCACUGAGAUGAUCCAAAAGUUUCUUCCAACUGGAAAAGAAUCAAAUAUUAGUUUCCCUGUAGAAAAGCUUCCUAAUGAUUCUACGGUUUUAUGGUUUGAUCAUUUAAGUAGGACCAUAGCAACAUAUAAUUCGUAUGGAGAAACUAAAUUGGAGCAGCUUUUCGAUGGAAAAGUGAAGAUUGCUGGACCAACAACGCUGACGUUUCUGAAUCCACAGACAUCAGACAGUGGAUUAUAUUGUGCAAAGGUGAUAGGAGAUAAACAUAAUAAUACAGUGAUGUGCUUCAACGUCACAUUUGCAGACCAAAAUACGGUUUCCACAGUUGCUGUUCCUGCUGUUUCUCUUGCUGUUCUUGCUGUUCUUGCCAUCAUUGCUGCUGUUGGGUUUGUUGCUGUUUAAAGAAGAAAUGUCAAGACCAGACAGAAGCCGUAGUCUUCUCUGCAAACUCUGGAACAAAUUCUCCAAUUGUCCAGAUUCUUCUGACAACGGAGAAGAAUCUGGACAACGGAGAUCCUCACAACAUCGAGGAAAAUGAUGGAGAUUCACCUGUUUAAAGCUGCAGAGAAAACCACAGACGUCACUCUGUGCUGCACUACAGUCCUCUCUCCACAACUUGUGAACAGCAGAAUUAGUUUUCCUGUAACUUCAGGUUACAGGUGGGGUGUUGUGGUGGCGCAGAGAAAACCUAAACUAUUGCUUCCUGUGUUGAGGAUUUAAAUUUGAACGUUUUCCUUUGAUGUAUGCAACGUGCUAGUUCGACGCUAUGAAGCUUACCCGAAACAACCUGCACUGUAGAUAACCGUCCUCCACAGCAAAUAGAUAAGAUCCGAUCUGAACGCGGCUGCUGUUAAUUUUAACGUUAAUUUAAUAUUUGGAAGUGUGGCCAACAUGGACUGAACGAUUUUGUUCACUUCCUCCUUUCCUAUUGCUAAAACUACAGACUACAAUUCUAAAACAGUUCAGAAAAUCGAUGUCUUCAUUCACAACGUCUCCUUCUAUUCGCUGAUUGGCCCUUAGGAAAACCAACUGGAGGGGUUUUUCACAAGCUGAAACUUAGAU